CACGUAGGGUGCGAGUGUUGUCCGGAAUUAUUGGGCGUAAAGAGCUCGUAGGCGGUGUGUCGCGUCGGCCGUGAAAACUUGCAGCUUAACUGUGGGCGUGCGGUCGAUACGGGCAUCACUGGAGUUCGGCAGGGGAGACUGGAAUUCCUGGUGUAGCGGUGAAAUGCGCAGAUAUCAGGAGGAACACCGGUGGCGAAGGCGGGUCUCUGGGCCGAAACUGACGCUGAGGAGCGAAAGCGUGGGGAGCGAACAGG
rnacentral:rRNA from 1 species